CACUCCCCACAGGCUACUCCAUUCUGGCCCUAUUUAUCCUCAUCUCCCCAAAGCUCCUGCACCCCGCCUUUCUCCUCCCGACCUCCCCCUCGUUCUAGCCCCAGCUUCCCUCUGCCUCCACUUCACCCUAUUAAGAAACAACCGCCCCACAGAAGCCUCUGCCCCUGGCGGCAGCUCCCUGAGCCCCGCCCGCCCUCCCUCCUCCUGCAACUGCUCCUCUCCCUGACAGAUGCCUCAGAGCCCCGGGCCGCAGUUAAGGUGACGAGAUGCAGCAAUUCUUUAUGAACAUUUCAUUCCUGCUCGCUACACGACGUAAAUUAGAUGGUGUGUUACAUUCGGGCAAUAAGAGAGAUAUGUCACCACGACGCUGGCCCAUUGGAUGGAGAGGGGGUUUGGCGAAGAGCGGAAAGGAUUUCACCCUGAUGUGCACACUACUGAGUGACCCCGCUCACCAGCGGCUCUGCUGAUUGCUUUGCACCUUGCAGACUUCGAUACUGGCUCAGCCUCUUGCCGGCCUCGCUCCCUCCGCUCCCUCUGGGUCUCCAGCCCACCCUUCCCCUGCCUGGCUUUCUCUUGAAGCCAAAGCCAAGAGACCUAACAGAGGAGUCACAAAGGUCACGAAGGGAUGGAUGUCUCUGUGGGGAGGAGCAGGGCGGCAGAGCUA
rnacentral:lncRNA from 1 species